CAUCUCAGCGCAGCCCAGGAAUCCCUGGGACCCAAGAGUAGAAUUUAUGGGCCAUGUGUUUUUUUCCUGCUGUGCCUUCUCUCAUCUAGGUUAUUUCCGAGAAAAUUCCUUUAAGAGCCCCUCUUCUGGCCCCAUUGAGACCUUACCAGAAAAAGGAAACAGGCUGGGAGACAGGCCAAGACAGCAUUCCACAUGGAUAGAGAGAAGACUCUUGAAUAUCCGGACCUUCACACCUGCCCUCUGCAGGCUGCUUUAUAGACCAUUCUUAUCACACUCCCCAAAUAUGGCAGCUCUGACCUGGUGAUGACUUCGAGGGUAUGCAGGGGAAAUGAAGCAGAAGAUGACAGCCGAUGGCAGACAGUCCCUGACAGGAUCCCCCCAUACCCCUGAGAGCUCCUUGGCCUCUAUGCUUUAUGACUAGUUUGGCGCACCUGAAGAAUGCCUUUGCUGCAGGGCCCUCAUACGGCAAUCGAAUCUGAACUAUUCGUUUUGCAGAGAAGGAAACUGAAGUCAAGAGAGCUCCUGGAAUACUGGGGUUGACAAUACAGCCAGUCAGAAGACUACCCUUCAUAGCCUCACUUCCUGGGACCAAUUGUUUCAACCAAUCUCCAGCAGCCACCUUGGAUCCUGAAGUCACCCUAAGGAUGGAAGCCAAGCACCCUCCGUGGUAGAGCACAAAGAUGGGCCUGAGUCCCCACGACUGCAGAGCCACAAUAGCAGCCUCCCUCCAGAUUCUUUCUACACAAGGAAGAGGUUAUAGCUGAAGCAGGAGUUAAGUUUUGGUCCUUGUGAAAGAGUAGUUCUUAACCUUGGCUGCACAUUUGACUUCUCUGAGGCUUUAAAAAAAAAAAAAUUCCCUGAGCUUUACUUCAGUCUGACUGAAUUAGAAUCUCUCGAGGUAGAGCCUGGGCCUCAGCAUUUUUAAAAGGAAAUAAAUAGGAAUUCUAAGAAAACUAAAAGACAAGCCACAAACUGGGAAAAAAUAUUUACAAAAUCACAUA